CCCCAAAAAUAACUUCGCCUGUUUAUCAAAAACAUUGCCUUUUGAGUUUUGUUUAAAGGUUAGUUCUGCUCGGUGCUUUUUAACAGCCGCGGUAAUUUGACCGUGCAAAGGUAGCAUAAUCAUUUGCCUUGUAAUUGAGGGCUAGAAUGAAUGAAUAAACAAGGGUUUUGCUUUAUUUUUAGAAGUUGAGGAAUUUUCUCUCUAUGUGAAGAAGCUUAGAUGGGGAAAGGGGACAAGAAGACCCUUUCGAGCUUUAUUAAAUGUAAGACUUUUUGUUUGUGUUUAGUUUGGUUGGGGCGACCUAGGAAUGAGAUCUUCCUAUUUUUUAUUUUGAUCCACGGUUUGUGAUUAAAAGAACAAGUUACCGAAGGGAUAACAGCGUAAUCUUCUUUGAGAGUUCUUAUUAAAAGGGAGGAUUGCGACCUCGAUGUUGACUUAUAGUUUCCUUUCGGUGUAGCCGCUGUUAGGGUGGGUCUGUUCGACCUUUAAAACUUUACGUGAUCUGAGUUCAGACCGGAAUCUUC
rnacentral:rRNA from 1 species